GCUGUUCCUACUUUGCUCACACCAAAGAAAGAUGGAACUUGGUGCAUGUGUGUUGAUAGUAGAGCUAUCAACAAGAUAACAAUCAAAUAUAGGUUUCCCAUACCUAGACUUAAUGAUGUGCUUGAUAUGAUGGCUGACUCGCAUAUCUUUUCAAAAAUCGACCUGAAGAGCGGGUACCAUCAAAUUAAAGUUAGACCAGGGGAUGAGUGGAAGACUGCCUUCAAGACGAAGGAUGGUCUCUAGGAAUGUAUGAUUAUACCAUUUGGUUUAACCAAUGCACCUAACACAUUUAUGAGAAUUAUGAAUCAGGUGCUUAGACCAUUCAAUGGCAAGUUCUUAGUGCGUUGGAAAGGAAG